rnacentral:lncRNA from 1 species
UAAGUCUCCAAAUUCCAUUCCAUUGAUAAUAUUUAAUUGAUUAUAUAAAUUUUUUAUGGUUAUGUGUGGACAGUCUUAGCACAGGCCACUUCAGCUAUGCAAGUCAUCAACUUCUCAAGAUUACCAAUCUUCAGAUCUAGGAAGACCCCUAGAUUAACCACAUUAAAAAGAAAAAAAAACACAUUAAAAGAAAUGCAGUUGCUUUAAAAGUCAUUGAUUGCAAAAUUGGUUUAGCCAUAAAAACAACAGGGAUAUUUUAGCUAAGAUGGUUCCCCAAUGAUGAUUUUUUUAUCUCUGAAAUAACUUGUUUAAAGUGUUGAUUAUGCUAUUUCUUCCUUUUUUUGAUUUUUUUUUUUUUUUGGAUGCACUAAGUACUUGGUUCAAAGGGGUUUAUGUACAUCAGUAAGCCACCAACAUGAAAUCACUUUUUUUCCUACUUUGAUGCUUUUCAUGCACAUUAAUGGUAAAGAACAGAAAAGGAACACUGAGGGUUGAAAGGAUAAAUUUUGAAAAGACAAACAAUAUGGAUUUGUUUGAUUUCUUUUUUUUUAACUCAGAUUGACAGCAGUGUUAUAACUUAUUUCCUCAAUGGAUCUGGGCCUAAAACAGCCUUUAAGGAAAAACAGUGGUAUUUGAGUGUCUAUGACUUGUUAAAUAAAAUUGAACAGGUAGGAUAUGAACACAUUAGAAGUAUAUUAAUAAAAAAUAUAUAUUAUUAUGGUUGAAAAUGUGACAGUGACUUCUCUGGACUCCCUAAAUGUAGUUUGUAGCUUGUCUGUGUAGUUGGGGGAAGGUGGGGAGGGGAUAGUACCCUGAGGCAAAAGCAGCAUACUAUGUGGAAAGAAGACUGAAUGUGGAACUUAAAAAGCUAGAUUCUAAUCGGGACUCACAAAGUCUGACUGGGAGUACAUGUUCUUAUUUUUACUGGCUUCAGAUAAUUCUUUUAGGAGGUUGGCAACAUUUGAAAUUUAAAAUCACUUCUCUACUCUAAAUGAUUUGAAAAGACAUCCAUCCCUCCAUGUCGAGUUAAACCCUAUGGCCACUUUGUGAAGAUUGGUGAUAUUUGCCAUACUAAGAUAGACCAUUGGACUCUAUAGGAGAUAUGAUUUCUAAUUUUAGUUCUAUCAUUAAGUCUGUGUGACCUUGGGAAAGAACCUUCUUUCCUCUGGACAUCAUUUUCCUUAUCUACUUUAAUUAAAUAAAGAAGUUCUAACUGACCCUAACAAUUUUUCCUUUAAAAUUUACUUUGUAUACCAGCACAAGAUUCUAGUAGGAAUUUAUCUUUUAGGAAACCCACUUCUCUUUCCCCCUUCCUCCCCAUCUUUUUAGCUAUUAGAUCCACAGUAGUGAUGUUACAUUGAUCUAUAAAGGCUAUGUAGAUUUCUAAAAGAUUAAGGGAGAUAUUUGAUCUAAAGUAUGAGUGUAACUUGCUAGCUUUUAAGAAGAUUCAGAGAAAAAAGAUACAUGAAAAUGAUACAGUAACAGUUACAAUAGCAUCUUCUGAUGCUAUUAUUUCCAAGAAGUCCCAAUUGGAUAAGUUCUUGUGAAUAUACAGAGUUAAGGCUAAGUCUUAGAUAUACACUGAGUAAAACAGAAGAAGAAGAAAUUAUAAUCUCAGGUAAAUCAUCCCUUUGAGAGGACAGUUGAGGGAAGAGUUAAGUUUCAGUCUAUUUGUGACCCCAUUUGGGGUUUUCUUGGUAAAAGAUACUGCAGUGUUUUGCCACUUUCUUUUCCAGUUCAUUUUAUAGAUAGGGAACUGAUGUAAACAGGACUAAGUGUCAGGCCCAGGGUCACACAGCUAGUAAGUGCCAGAUUUAAACUCGGGUUUUCUUGAUUUCAGUGAUCCAUCUAUUGGGUCACCUAGCUGCCCCAAUAGGGAAUAUGAAAGAAUAAUAAAAACACAUUUCACUGGAAUACUAUCAACUAUAUAAAAAUACCUACAUGUAGUUUUUAAGUAAUUUGUUCUUAAGAACUACUAUAAAGUAGAUUAAGAAUUUAACUUGCCCUUUUAUGACCACAAUGUACAUUUUGAAAAAUCCUGCUAUGUCAAUAUAAAAACAUUUUCAAAUAAGCUUUUCUUUAUGGUACAGGUCUCGUUAAAAUGAUGUUGAAUAUGGCUGUAAUUAUCGUGAUGUCGAAAUUUUUUAUUUCAAGGUUAUGCCUUUAUCAGCUACAGCUGAAAGCAUUUGUAUUAUUUGGGUUAAAAGCACAUCUGGGGACAUAAAUUGAAGAGAUACUGUCUUUGAUGUCUGGAUUAUUAAAAAAAAAAGUUUACUCAAAUAUGUGGAACUCAAAUGAUUGGAAAUAUUUUUUCUCAAUGCCAACCAAAUUAUUACCUCAUAUUCAAAUGAAAUCAAGGUGAUAUCAAGUUACUGUUGAAAGGAAUAGAAAAGUAUGCAUGGAUAGAGGAUAAAAAAUGAAGUAUAAAACUUCUGAAUGUACAAUAGUAAUGCUUGAAGAAAACUCAACAUUUUAACUUGAAGAUUGUAAAAACCUGAUUUUUAAAAAAUCUUAAAUUAUAUUAAUUUAAUUCAAGUAAUUAUGAGAUUUCUUAGUAACUAUUUGAUUUUGUUUUCAAAAGGCAUUUAUAUUCUUAAUUUAACAAGAGUUUUUGUUACUUUUGAUUGAAUUAGCUGUCUUGUACUUUUUGGUUUUUUUCCCUUUUAUAGAUCUUACUGUGACCUUCUUAAAGCCCUGAAGUCUAAUGUAUAGAAAAAUGUUAAUUUUGGUAUUGUAUUGUUCAG